rnacentral:snRNA from 1 species
AAAGAUUUUCUAAUAAAAAAAAAAAAUCUGUUCUUAUCAGUUUAAUACAUAUUAAACGGAUUUUUAGCACCAUGAGCUGAAAAAGGGGCUUGCUCCGUUCACUCCACGCAUCGACCCAGUAUUGCAGCACCUCUGGGAACGGUGCACCCUUG